UCUCCUCUCUGUGUCUGCAGUGAUAGAGGAGAAGGGAGUGAAGAUGAAGCUCACAGUGAUUGACACGCCAGGAUUUGGAGACCAGAUAAACAACGAAAACUGUUGGGAGCCUAUAGUGAGUUAUGUUAAUGAGCAGUAUGAGAGGUACCUGAAAGAAGAGCUGUACGUCAACAGGAAGCCGAGGAUCCCUGACACACGCGUCCACUGCUGUGUCUACUUCCUGCCUGCCACCGGACACUGGUUACGUCCCAUAGAC